GCUGGUGCUCAUAGCAAAGGGGAUACACCUGUUCCCAUACCGAACACAGCAGUUAAGUUCUUUAGCGGUGACAAUACUUGGGUCAUCAAGCCCUGGGAAGAUAGCACAGCGCCGGCA
rnacentral:rRNA from 1 species